rnacentral:SRP_RNA from 1 species
GCCGGGCACGGUGGCGCGAGCCUGUAAUCCCAGGUACUUGGGAGGCUGAGGCAGGAGAAUCGCUUGAACCCAGGAGACGGAGAUUGCAGUGAGCCAAGGUCGUGCCACUGCACUCCUGUCUGGGUGACAGAGUGAGACUCCAUCUCAU